GAGAAUUUCAACCCAGUAGAUCUUAGCUUGCGUGCCGGGCUCUGUCGGGGUGGGACCCGCUAAGUAAGACCACUUGGCACCCUGGCUUCAGCCCCCUUUUCAGGGGAGUGGACGGUUCUCUCUCACUAGGGUUCCGGCUGCCACUGGGAUAUGAAAAAAAACUCCUACAGCUAAGAAAUUCAGCAAGAGACAGAUAUCCCUGAAAGAGAGCUUGUUAGAGCCCUACAGUCCCUCGCCUGUGGUAAACCAACACAGCGGGUUCUUACAAAAGAACCCAAAUCAAAGGAAAUAGAAAAUGGUCAUAUAUUUACAGUUAAUGAUCAAUUCACAUCCAAACUACACAGAGUCAAGAUUCAAACAGUUGCUGCCAAACAAGGUGAAUCCGACCCAGAGAGGAAAGAAAC
rnacentral:sRNA from 1 species